GGCAUAUCAAUAAGCGGAGGAAAAGAAACCAACAGGGAUUGCCCUAGUAACGGCGAGUGAAGCGGCAACAGCUCAAAUUUGAAAUCUGGCCCUCGGGUCCGAGUUGUAAUUUGUAGAGGAUGCUUUUGGUGCGGUGCCUUCCGAGUUCCCUGGAACGGGACGCCAUAGAGGGUGAGAGCCCCGUCUGGUUGGACACCAAUCCUCUGUAAAGCUCCUUCGACGAGUCGAGUAGUUUGGGAAUGCUGCUCUAAAUGGGAGGUAUAUGUCUUCUAAAGCUAAAUACCGGCCAGAGACCGAUAGCGCACAAGUAGAGUGAUCGAAAGAUGAAAAGCACUUUGAAAAGAGAGUUAAACAGUACGUGAAAUUGUUGAAAGGGAAGCGCUUAUGACCAGACUUGGGCUUGGUAGAUCAACCUGGGUUCUCCCCGGUGCACUCUUCCUCGUCCAGGCCAGCAUCAGUUCGCUGCGGGGGAUAAAGGCUUCGGGAAUGUGGCUCCCUCGGGAGUGUUAUAGCCCGUUGCGUAAUACCCUGCGGUGGACUGAGGUUCGCGUUCUGCAAGGAUGCUGGCGUAAUGGUCAUCAGCGACCCGUCUUGAAACACGGACCA
rnacentral:rRNA from 1 species